rnacentral:rRNA from 1 species
GACGAACGCUGGCGGCGUGCUUAACACAUGCAAGUCGAACGGAAAGGCCCUGCUUUUGUGGGGUUCUCGAUUGGCGAACGGGUGAGUAACACGUGAGUAACCUGCCCUUAACUUUGUGAUAACUUCAGGAAACUGGGGCUAAUACCGGAUAUGAUCUCCUGCUGCAUGGUGGUGGUUGGAAAGUUUCGGCGGUUGGGGAUGGACUCGCGGCUUAUCAGCUUGUUGGUGAGGUAGUUGCUUACCAAGGCUUUGACGGGUAGCCUGCAUGAGAGGGGGACCGGGCACCUGGGGACUGAGAUACGGACCAGACGCGUACGGGACGCAGUAGUGGGGAACCUUGCACAAUGGGCGGAAGCGUGAUGUAGCAACGCCGCGUGCGGGAUGACGGGUUUUGGGUUGAAAACCGCUUUGGAAUGUGACGAAGCGUGCGUGACGGUAAUGGGUAAAGAAGCACCGGCUAACUACGUG